GGCUUGGUGGUGUAGUGGUUACAUGUCUUCUUCAUGUGAAUCGAUUAGUCGAAGAUGGUAGAGGAAGAAGUCCUCGGUUCGAUUCCGGGUCAGGCCG